AUCCACUGGGAGUCCUUUUGCGUUUCAGAUGCUCCCAGGCUCUCCCGCAGUUUAAAGACUUAACUCAGCGGCUUUCAGGGCCUGUGGUUGAGGGACUCCGAAAGAACUGUUGCUGGUGGACCGGUUCAGGGUCUUGACUUCGCCACACAAAAGAACUUGAGAGCACGUCCAAAGUAAAGCUAAGACCUCUAGUACAGUGUUCAAUGGAACUGGUGAGAAAAGACGUCCUUGCUGUGUUCCUGAUAUGAAGAGGAAAGCAGUCCUUCUCCAUUAAGUAAAAUGCUGACAACAUGAGCCUCCCGUGGUCGGAACGGGCUUGUGAAGGCGGUGCUGGGGUGCACCAGGGCAGCAGCUACAGGGUCAAGCCUGAGACACCUGAAGCCCUGGACUUGGAAUCUGAAGCUGUCAUCAGCCAGUACACCUAUGAACCUGUGGAAGACCUGAAGUACCUGUUUAAAAGACAGCCAAAAGAUAAGUAAA
rnacentral:lncRNA from 1 species